UGGGUAAGAGUGGGUAACUCUAUAUAAAGUGGCCUGUGGCUCAGUCAAAAAAGAAUGGCAGGGAGCUGGAGUUGCUGAGAGAGCAUAGGAGAGGGGUGUUCUCUCUAGACAGUGGGAGGGGUAGCUAGGAGGGAAGCAAAGGAGGAUAAGCUGUACAAGUCCCACAGGGACAGGCUAUAACAGUGAAGGAAGAGGCCUGGGGACCACAGUAAUGGUGAGGGUUUGAAGCCUGGUGUUAGCACCUGUCUUUGUUUAGAGGCCCCAGGCUGGACCAAGGGAGGGAGGAAGUUACACCAUCAGCUCCAUCUGCCUCCCCUAGAGAGACUAGGAGAGACCCUGGUGGGAAAAGGACUAUCAAGCUGUUAGUUGUGGAAGGGUGAAGAAGCUGACUCUGACCUGAGUCCUGCAUCGAGGGGGAAAGCUAAGCACGCAAAGGGUUGAAGGAUUAUUGCACACUUCUGCCUCAGGUGGCUGCAGAAUGGAUUUUGGUUGUUUGGGGAGGACUCUCUAGUCUAGCUGGAAAGCCAUGUUAUUCCAUCACAAGGGAACACACUAGACGACACUGUAGCAAGAGGGAGAUCAGCUACAGCUCGAGACUGAGGCAGCAAGCUCCUUGCAGAAAGGUCUCAUGAUAUUUGAUGUUGAUCCUAAAUACCUGGAUUCUGGAGUCCUGUGAUUACAUGAGAAUCUCAGCUUUCAUUUUUUGAAAGAAGUGACUCUAAGACGUCAUCAGGCUGAUUAAACUUCAUGCUUUGUGAUUUGCGCCGAGACGCUGUCCACCUGUGGAAAAGGGUCACCCCUGCUCCUACUUCAGCAGAAUCAUAUGAUUAGCCAGGCAAGCAAAGGACAUGUCUGACUCUAAGGAGAUGUUAUUAUUCUAGUGCACACGUCUAAUCUCAGCACGAGUCAUUUCAGAGAAAGGGAAAGGAAAUCCACCAUGAAGAUGAAGAGCCUCAGUCACUGCUGCAGAACAUUGUACUGGCUUUGGCCUAGUGGAACUGUGCCUAUGAUUAAUCUUGUCAAGCCCAAACUAGAGUGGCUAAUAAGAAAUCACACCACUUUACUCUUCCCAUCUACCUCUCCUAUUCUACAUGGCCCAUCUGUAAAAGCCAGACUGGCAGGAGGGUUGGGAAAGGGGGAGGUCAGACUGUGCGUCUGCUGGGCUGUACUAGAUUAUUAAAACGUAUCCUGAAACUAAAGACAGAGAUUUGAUAAUCCUUGUCUAAGGGUGAAUGUUCCUUGGCUGGCCUGGGAUUUUUGUGGGGAGGUCAUCCUUUCCGUCACUGAAAAUGUUCACUGCA